AUCCCCUUUUAGGGUAUCCAAGUCAAUCAUGACCAGUCAUUUACAUCUUGAGCCAUUUCUGAAAUCCAUGUGGAUUUUCUCUUCCUCAGAGUUAUGUAAAAACAUGAAUGACAGGUGAUGUCACUGAAUAACUGACAUGGGAGUGGACAGCUUGAAGAUCCUCAAAAGGAGCCAGGUAAUCAGAGAAAAAAUUACACUAAAGAUGGAGGAGGCCAACCUCUGUCCAGCUCUAGGAAGAGUCAUCCCGAUUUCCUUCUGGGACCUGCUCAGUAUGGAUUAUGGCACCAAAUAUGUGGAGAAUGUGAACUUCAGAAGAUUCCAAAUAUUUGCUAUCAAUGGAGGCAGGAAAACAGGGAAUAAGAGGACAUGGUGGGAAAGAAGAUAGAAGAAGAAACUGAGAUUCAGAGAAUUCACCCAGCUAAUAUUUGGCAGAAGGAGAGUUCAAAGUCCAGGCUGCAUGAUGCAAAUGGCAGUAACUGAAGAGGCUGUGUACAAUCCUAGGUAAGACUUUAUUAUACUUUUGCUUUUUAAAUUAGUUCUUCCCUGCAUGCUACUAUAUUGAUCAAUGUUUCUGCCCUUCCUUAAUGUUACUUCAUUUCUUCCCUUCUAUUGAUAUAUUUUAUUCCCUAUUGUGGUUUCACACAACUGAAUUAUGCAAAUGAAAUAUUAAGUCUAAAGUUAUCCAGCACCUCUUUUUUCCCAGUAACUGAACAACCUUAAAAUGUUUUAAUACUCUAGACUUUUCCUGUGUGAAUGUUAUUAUGGUAUUAUAGAUCUCUCUUUUUGAGUUUUUUUUAACACACACAUAUCAAUAAGAAUAGGAUUUUACCUUGUUUUAACAUAUCCUAGCAGUUACUCAUUACUUAUGAAAACAAUGCUUUCCAUGUAUGCCCUAUGUAUUCAUGUAAGCAUGUUUGUAUUUCAGACGCCCUUGAUGAUAGCGUAGCUGGGAAUCAAAUUCUAUUUUGAUUACUUUGGUGCAGUUUAAGGAUACAAUAUAACUGUAUUCUGGUUUCUACUAGUGGUAUUGAAUAAUAAAUAAUACAUUUAUUAUUUGUUUUUAUA